GCUGGUUGUGCUAUUGGCAACAACAAUGAGUAAGGUAAAAUAGUAGCCAAAAGUCAAUCAAUGCUAAUAAAAUUCCUACAAAGCUGUCAACCACUUAAUAUAUGUAAUAUUUUAGUUCAACAGAAAAAAAGAUUUAAUAUAGAAAAACAUAAAAACAAUAAUUCACUCAUGGUAGAUGAUUUGUUUCAUCAAAGAUUCAUGGUGUAGAAGAGUAGACGACUAAUAGGUUCCCC
rnacentral:lncRNA from 1 species